rnacentral:rRNA from 1 species
CAAAAACACAGGACUCUGCAAAGUCGCAAGACGACGUAUAGGGUCUGACGCCUGCCCGGUGCCGGAAGGUUAAGAGGAGAUGUCAGGGCAACCGAAGCAUCGAAUCGAAGCCCCGGUAAACGGCGGCCGUAACAAUAACGGUCCUAAGGUAGCGAAAUUCCUUGGCGGGUAAGUUCCGUCCUGCACGAAUGGCGUAACGACUUCCCCACUGUCUCGACCCGAGACUCGGCGAAAUCGAAUUCGGGGUGAAGAUACCCUUUACCCGCGGCAGGACGGAAAGACCCCGUGAACCUUUACUGUAACUUGGCACUGAUUUUCGGGUUAGCUUGCGUAGGAUAGGUGGGAGGCUAUGAAGCCGGGAUUCCGGUCUCGGCAGAGCCAACCUUGAAAUACCACCCUGGCUAACCUAAAAAUCUAACUCGCUUCCGUAAUCCGGAAGGAGGACAAUGCCUGGUGGGCAGUUUGACUGGGGCGGUCGCCUCCCAAAAAGUAACGGAGGCGCGCGAAGGUUCCCUCAGCCUGAUUGGAAACCAGGCGCAGAGUGUAAUGGC